UGGGGAAUUUUGCACAAUGGGGGAAACCCUGAUGCAGCGACGCCGCGUGAUUUAGAAGGCCUUCGGGUUGUAAAAAUCUUUUGUAUGGUAAGAAAAUGACAGUACCAUACGAAUAAGGACCGGCUAAUUACGUGCCAGCAGCCGCGGUAAUACGUAAGGUCCGAGCGUUGUCCGGAAUCAUUGGGCGUAAAGGGUACGUAGGCGGAUAAGCAAGUUAGAAGUGAAAUCCUAUAGCUCAACAAUAGUAAGCUUUUAAAACUGCUCAUCUUGAGGUAUGGAAGGGAAAGUGGAAUUCCUAGUGUAGCGGUGAAAUGCGCAGAUAUUAGGAGGAAUACCGGUGGCGAAGGCGACUUUCUGGCCAUAUACUGACGCUGAGGUACGAAAGCGUGGGUAGCAAACAGG
rnacentral:rRNA from 1 species